CGCUGGCGGCAGGCUUAACACAUGCAAGUCGAACGAUGACUCUCUAGCUUGCUAGAGAAGAUUAGUGGCGGACGGGUGAGUAACAUUUAGGAAUCUGCCUAGUAGUGGGGGAUAGCUCGGGGAAACUCGAAUUAAUACCGCAUACGACCUACGGGUGAAAGGGGGCGCAAGCUCUUGCUAUUAGAUGAGCCUAAAUCAGAUUAGCUAGUUGGUGGGGUAAAGGCCCACCAAGGCGACGAUCUGUAACUGGUCUGAGAGGAUGAUCAGUCACACCGGAACUGAGACACGGUCCGGACUCCUACGGGAGGCAGCAGUGGGGAAU
rnacentral:rRNA from 1 species